UUCUUAUGAAAAAUGUAGGGGUUUUGAGAGCCCAAAUUCCCAGAACCAUUGCUGAUGCUGUGAGCUGGCUGUGUCUGCAGGGAGUGCCAAGGCUUCCUGGGCCUGCUCCUCACGGAUAAGGGUAGUCUUUACCCCUCAUCAAGGAAACUUUGCAACAGACAGAACCCACUGUAAAAAAAAAAAAAAAAUACAACCAAUCAACA